GUCCAGACUCCUACGGGAGGCAGCAGUGGGGAAUAUUGCACAAUGGGGGAAACCCUGAUGCAGCGACGCCGCGUGAGGGAAGAAGUAUUUCGGUAUGUAAAGCUCUAUCAGCAGGAAAGAAAAUGACGGUACCUGACUAAGAAGCCCCGGCUAACUACGUGCCAGCAGCCGCGGUAAUACGUAGGGGGCAAGCGUUAUCCGGAUUUACUGGGUGUAAAGGGAGCGUAGACGGCGGCGCAAGUCCGGAGUGAAAGCCCGGGGCCCAACCCCGGGACUGCUCUUGGAACUGCGCGGCUGGAGUGCAGGAGGGGCAGGCGGAAUUCCUGGUGUAGCGGUGAAAUGCGUAGAUAUCAGGAGGAACACCGGUGGCGAAGGCGGCCUGCUGGACUGCGACUGACGUUGAGGCCCGAAAGCGUGGGGAGCAAACAGGAUUAGAUACCCCAGUA
rnacentral:rRNA from 1 species